ACGGCAGACGAGCCGGGCGGACGGCCGCGUGGACUCCCCUUCGGGGGCGCUCCCCGAGGAACGUCCGGGCUCCACAGGGCAGGGUGAUGGCUAACGGCCACCCGGGGUGACCCGCGGGAAAGUGCCACAGAAAACAGACCGCCGGAGACUUCGGUCCCCGGUAAGGGUGAAACGGUGGUGUAAGAGACCACCAGUGCCCAGGGUGACCUGGGCAGCUAGGUAAACCCCACCCGGAGCAAGGUCAAAAGGGAACGUCCCCAAGGAUUUGGACGACGCUCCUGCGAGGACGUUCGAGGGCUGCCCGCCCGAGUCCCCGGGUAGACCGCACGAGGCCGGCGGCAACGCCGGCCCUAGAUGGAUGGCCGUCGCCGAGGGGUUCGCGAGGACCCCUCGGACACAGAACCCGGCGUACGGCCCGGCUCGUCUGC
rnacentral:RNase_P_RNA from 1 species